rnacentral:rRNA from 1 species
AUUGAACGCUGGCGGCAGGCUUAACACAUGCAAGUCGAGCGAGCGGCGGACGGGUGCGUAAUGUAUGGGGACUGCCCGAUAGAGGGGGAUCACUACUGGAAACGGUGGCUAAUAGCGCAUACUAUCGGAUAACCCAUAUGGGAUUAGCUAGUAGGUGGGGGAAAGGCUCACCUAGGCGACGACCUCUAGCUGGUCUGAGAGGAUGGUCAGCGACCCUGGGACUGAGACACGGACCAGACUCCUACGGAGGGAGCAGUGGCGAAUAUUGCGCAAUGGGCGGGAGCAUGAUGCAGCCAUGCCGAGUGUAUGGAGAAGACCUUAGGGUUGUAAAGUACUUUCAGGGGGGGGGCGUUACCCGCAGAAGAAGCACCGGCUAACUCCGUGCCAGCAGCCGCGGUAAUAC